rnacentral:rRNA from 1 species
CCUACGGGUGGCAGCAGUGGGGAAUAUUGCACAAUGGGGGAAACCCUGAUGCAGCGACGCCGCGUGAGCGAAGAAGUAUUUCGGUAUGUAAAGCUCUAUCAGCAGGGAAGAAAAUGACGGUACCUGACUAAGAAACCCCGGCUAAAUACGGGCCAGCAGCCGCGGGAAUACGUAGGCGGCAAGCGUUAUCCGGAUUUACUGGGUGUAAAGGGAGCGCAGGCGGCUUGGCAAGUCAGAUGUGAAAGGCUGGGGCUCAACCCCGGGACUGCAUUGGAAACUGUUAGGCUGGAGUGUCGAAGGGGUAGGCGGAAUUCAUGGUGUAGCGGUGAAAUGCGUAGAUAUUAGGAAGAACACCGGUGGCGAAGGCAGCUUACUGGACGACAACUGACGCUGAGGCUCGAAAGCGUGGGGAGCAAACAGGAUUAGAUACCCCUGUAGUC